AAAAGACCUCCAGUUUCUCCCGACCGAACCCGCGCUCCUCGUCUUGCUCCUCCGACAGAAUCCCCAGCUCCGCUGCUCCCCGCCGCCGUAGCUUCGCUCCUCCACGCCGCCGCAGCUGCCCUGUCCCCGCCGCCGCAGCUCCCCCGCUCCCCCGCUCCCCUGCUGCAGAUGCCUCCUGCUCCACCGCCGCAACUGCCACUUGCCUGCUUCCCCAAGCUCCCCCUUCAUCAUAAAAAUGUUCGAUUUCCCCAGCUACCGCCGCGCUCUGCUCUGGCUGUGUCGAAACUGGCGUCGGCGAGCCCGGAGGCGCUGGAUCCGGACCACCACCAACAACCUCAUCUCUUGGGGUCGAGCGUGGUGGCGACGGAGCAGGGAUGGAGUCCGGCAAGGGCGGUGCAGACCGGCCACGGGGCUCGCUAGAGAAGGAGUUGAGGGAUGGCAGCGGCAGCAAGGCCAUGGAGGCAGGGUCGACGGAGUGGCGGACGGCAGAGCAGGGCCUUGGCGGCUUGGCUGUAGGCGGGCGCUCGAUGCGUCGUUCCCGCGCAACAGAAGCAGGGGAGGCCGCGGGGUCUUGGAUGGCGACGCGGGACCUGGCGGCAGCUUGGCGCGGGCGCCGGGGCCGCCGGAGUUGGCCCCUCUGGUGGUAGCGUGCGGAGGCACGACGCGGAAGGGAGGAGGGCGGCGCUCGAGGUCGCUGACGUCUGGCAAGGCCGCAUCGAGGGAGCCGAACGGAGGCGGGCGACGGGAGGCUGCAGGGGCGACGCGCUCGGGGAGAGGGAGAGUAGGGAUCGGGAACGAGGGGGAUGGAGCUCGCGGGCGCCAUUGACACCAUGGUUCUUCAGAUAAGUGCUGGUGUUGCUUCUUCAGAUAGCACAUGUAUCAAUUGCCAUCUUCAUCCGUGGAAUGAUGUUGUAUCUAUGAUGUGCUCUUGGUCUGUUGCAAUUUGUAACUGAUGUGUGUUGUUUCUUCAGUUAAGUGGCAUGGAUCAUCGAGGCGGCUACAUUUUCUGCACUGCUGUCCAGUGGAUCAUCUCCAAGUCCUCCAGUUCUGAUCAUCUACAGCGUCGUACUCAAGUUUCAUUCCACUCACCCUAGUGAGCAGAGCAGCAACUCCUUACAGUACACUGAUCAUAUUCAGCACAGGAAGCAGAGGAGCAACUCCUUACGGUACCUUCUUCCUCCUGACGAGCAGGAGCUCUGGCGGCAGCACGGGCAAACGAGCAGCAGCAGUACUAGUAGAUGAGCAGAAGCUGUACGGGCAGAGGAGCUCCACCGGCGGUAGGGGAGAAGCAGCCGCACGGGCGCGCGGGCAGAGGAGAAGGAGCUGCACGGGCUCGCCUGGGAGAUUGAGGAGGACGCACGGGAGAUCGAGGAGGCAGCGCGCGAGCUCUUGGUCCACCGGAUCGUGGAGGCAAUUUUCGGCGACGCCCGUAGGGGAUCGCAGCCGGGAGGAAUUGCGGCGGCGCACACGCGGGUGCUCAAGGAGGAUGCGCUGGAGCUUGACGAGGAUGUGCUGGAGCUCGAGGUGGACGCCGUGAGCUCGAGGAGGACGUGGCCGGAGGUCCCGACGGCGCCCGCAGGUAAUCGAGGCAGGGCGGCGAUGCAGGUCUGAGUGGGGGAGGCGGCGGAGCAGGUACUUGGCGACGGCGGCGGCGGAGCAGGUACUUGGCGACGGCGGCGGCGGAGCAGGUACUUGGCGACGGCGGCGGAGCACUUCCUGAUGGGCGGAGAUGACGACGACGGCAACAGCUGGGCAGCGCCGGCCCCUAUCGACGACUUAGGAAGAAGACAGGGGGCGGAGGGGCUUCUUGCAGACGAUUUUAAAACUACGAGGGCUUUUUUGCAAAAUCACCAAUGAACUGCGCCCGCAACAUGUUUUUCGGGACGGAGGGAGUAAUACUUUGUAAGGUCCUCGAGAUAAUCAAUAAAGUGGCCGUAUGCAUCUCCCAGAUGCAGAGGCCGGGGUCAUCCUCCUUUUCUAAAAAAAAAAGCACUGCCGCCACCGCUUCACGGUGAUGGCCUGCUGACUUGCGGCACCCAUCCCUCCGGUUGGUUCUUCACCCCCAUAUUUAAGUGUAGUUUUUUGUUGUAGAAACUUGUGAAUUUUCUUAUAACUUGAUCAAGAAUUUGAGAACAGCAUCCCUAGCUGGCUUACCCAAUGGAAAAGCUUGUGAUUGUGGACUA